AUUGAACGCUGGCGGCAGGCCUAACACAUGCAAGUCGAACGAGUGGCGGACGGGUGAGUAAUGUCUGGGAAACUGCCCGAUGGGGGGGGAUAACUACGGGAAAGGGUAGCUAAUCGCGCAUACCAUCGGAAGUGCCCAGAUGGGAUUAGCUAGUAGGUGGGGUAACGGCUCACCUAGGCGACGAUCCCUAGCUGGUCUGAGAGGAUGAUCAUCCACACUGGAACGGAGACACGGUCCAGACUCCUACGGGAGGCAGCAGUGGGGAAUAUUGCACAAUGGGCGCAAGCCUGAUGCAGCCAUGCCGCGUGUAUGAAGAAGGCCUUCGGGUUGUAAAGUACUUUCAGCGAGGAGGCGUUACUCGCAGAAGAAGCACCGGCUAACUCCGUGCCAGCAGCCGCGGUAAUAC
rnacentral:rRNA from 1 species